GGAGGGGUGGCAGAGCGGUUGAAUGCGACGGUCUUGAAAACCGUUAGAGGCGCAAGUCUCUCGUGAGUUCGAAUCUCACCCCCUCCGCCA
rnacentral:tRNA from 1 species